rnacentral:rRNA from 1 species
AGCUAAUACUUGCUUUAGCACUCUUGAUUAAGUUCUUGAGUGUGUACUUGUUAAGCCUUUUAAGAAAAAAGUUAUUAACUUAAGGAAUUAUAACAAAGAAGUAACACGUAAUGGAUCCGUCCAUUUUUAGUGUGUAUCAAUCGAGUUUCUGACCUAUCAGCUUUUGAUGUUAGGGUAUUGGCCUAACAUGGCUAUGACGGGUAACGGGGAAUUAGAGUUCGAUUCCGGAGAGGGGGCCUGAGAAAUAGCUACCACAUCUAAGGAAGGCAGCAGGCGCGUAAAUUACCCAAUUCUAAAGAAGAGAGGUAGUGACAAGAAAUAACAAUACAAGGCCAAUCUGGCUUUGUAAUUGGAAUGAUGGGAAUUUAAAACCUUCCCAAAACUCAAUUGGAGGGCAAGUCUGGUGCCAGCAGCCGCGGUAAUUCCAGCUCCAAUAGCGUAUAUUAAAAUUGUUGCAGUUAAAACGCUCGUAGUUGAAUUUCAAAGAAUCGAUAUUUUAAGUAACGCUUUUAGCUUAAUCCACAUAACUGAUACUACGUAUCGACUUUGUGCGCAUUUUGCUAUUAUGUGUUCUUUUAAUUAAAAUGAUUCUUUUUAAGAUCUUUCUUUUGCUUCGGCAUUUGAAGACCUUGUUACUUUGAGUAAAUUAGAGUGUUCAAAGCAAACAGAUAUAGCAUUGCGCGUUUGAAUACUACAGCAUGGAAUAACAAAACUGAACAAGUCAGAAUUUUGUUCUUUUUUCUUAUUUUGGCUUAGUUACGAUUAAUAGGAGUAGCUUGGGGGCAUUUGUAUUCAGAUGUCAGAGGUGAAAUUCUUAGAUUUUCUGGAGACAAACAACUGCGAAAGCAUUUGCCUAAAAUACUUCCAUUAAUCAAGAACGAAAGUUAAGGGAGUGAAGACGAUCAGAUACCGUCGUAAUCUUAACCAUAAACUAUGCCGACUAGGCUUUGGAUGAAAGAUUUUAAAAUAAGA